rnacentral:rRNA from 1 species
CAGCCGCCGCGGUAAUACGUAGGUGGCAAGCGUUGUCCGGAAUUAUUGGGCGUAAAGGGCUCGCAGGCGGUUUCUUAAGUCUGAUGUGAAAGCCCGGCUCAACCGGGGAGGGUCAUUGGAAACUGGGAAACUUGAGUGCAGAAGAGGAGAGUGGAAUUCCACGUGUAGCGGUGAAAUGCGUAGAGAUGUGGAGGAACACCAGUGGCGAAGGCGACUCUCUGGUCUGUAACUGACGCUGAGGAGCGAAAGCGUGGGGAGCGAACAGGAUUAGAUACCCCGGUAGUCCCUGUCUCUUAUACAC